CAGAGCUCUUUUGCAGGGCACAGCCUGCUGAGCUGUCUCUGUCAGCCCUGUUUCCCUACUUUUCCUUAAGUAACAUCAGCUGAUGGCUCUCUUCUCUUGCAGCAUCAAGAGCUCGCCACCUCCAAAAGCACACGGCCUGGACAGCCACUCCCUGAAGCAAAUCUGCCGUGUAUCCAUAUAUUCAUGCUGUGAUGUAACAUACUAUAUUACACAUGGUGAGGUGAGACCCUUAGAAGGUUGAAUCAUUCCGACUAAUGGAUGUACUAUCACCAGGGGCAAGUCCAGCCAGUCAGCAAGACACCUGAAUUUACAGGAGUGACAUUUCCACGUUAUUCAAAUUCAAAACAAGCCUACUCGGUGAACCUCAGCCCCAAGGAAUUCACAGUGCUCUACAUCAACUCCCAAUUUGCAAUUCUAGCAUCUCACUGAGACCAGGCAGUACAGAAAGAGACCUUGUGUUUUGUGACAAGUUCUUCUUUCAAGUCUUCAUGCUCAAAGAGAAUUGACUACAGAGUGUCAGGUGACCUUCAGCUGAGAUUUAACAAGCAGGUAGGAUACAAUGAUCAGAAAAUGGCUUCAUUGGACUUCAU
ensembl:lincRNA